rnacentral:rRNA from 1 species
AAAUUGAAGAGUUUGAUCAUGGCUCAGAUUGAACGCUGGCGGCAGGCCUAACACAUGCAAGUCGAACGGUAACAGGAAGCAGCUUGCUGCUUUGCUGACGAGUGGCGGACGGGUGAGUAAUGUCUGGGAAACUGCCUGAUGGAGGGGGAUAACUACUGGAAACGGUGGCUAAUACCGCAUAACGUCGCAAGACCAAAGAGGGGGACCUUCGGGCCUCUUGCCAUCAGAUGUGCCCAGAUGGGAUUAGCUUGUUGGUGAGGUAACGGCUCACCAAGGCGACGAUCCCUAGCUGGUCUGAGAGGAUGACCAGCCACACUGGAACUGAGACACGGUCCAGACUCCUACGGGAGGCAGCAGUGGGGAAUAUUGCACAAUGGGCGCAAGCCUGAUGCAGCCAUGCCGCGUGUAUGAAGAAGGCCUUCGGGUUGUAAAGUACUUUCAGCGGGGAGGAAGGUGUUGUGGUUAAUAACCGCAGCAAUUGACGUUACCCGCAGAAGAAGCACCGGCUAACUCCGUGCCAGCAGCCGCGGUAAUACGGAGGGUGCAAGCGUUAAUCGGAAUUACUGGGCGUAAAGCGCACGCAGGCGGUCUGUCAAGUCGGAUGUGAAAUCCCCGGGCUCAACCUGGGAACUGCAUUCGAAACUGGCAGGCUUGAGUCUUGUAGAGGGGGGUAGAAUUCCAGGUGUAGCGGUGAAAUGCGUAGAGAUCUGGAGGAAUACCGGUGGCGAAGGCGGCCCCCUGGACAAAGACUGACGCUCAGGUGCGAAAGCGUGGGGAGCAAACAGGAUUAGAUACCCUGGUAGUCCACGCCGUAAACGAUGUCUACUUGGAGGUUGUGCCCUUGAGGCGUGGCUUCCGGAGCUAACGCGUUAAGUAGACCGCCUGGGGAGUACGGCCGCAAGGUUAAAACUCAAAUGAAUUGACGGGGGCCCGCACAAGCGGUGGAGCAUGUGGUUUAAUUCGAUGCAACGCGAAGAACCUUACCUGGUCUUGACAUCCACAGAACUUUCCAGAGAUGGAUUGGUGCCUUCGGGAACUGUGAGACAGGUGCUGCAUGGCUGUCGUCAGCUCGUGUUGUGAAAUGUUGGGUUAAGUCCCGCAACGAGCGCAACCCUUAUCCUUUGUUGCCAGCGGUCCGGCCGGGAACUCAAAGGAGACUGCCAGUGAUAAACUGGAGGAAGGUGGGGAUGACGUCAAGUCAUCAUGGCCCUUACGACCAGGGCUACACACGUGCUACAAUGGCGCAUACAAAGAGAAGCGACCUCGYGAGAGCAAGCGGACCUCAUAAAGUGCGUCGUAGUCCGGAUUGGAGUCUGCAACUCGACUCCAUGAAGUCGGAAUCGCUAGUAAUCGUGGAUCAGAAUGCCACGGUGAAUACGUUCCCGGGCCUUGUACACACCGCCCGUCACACCAUGGGAGUGGGUUGCAAAAGAAGUAGGUAGCUUAACCUUCGGGRGGGCGCUUACCACUUUGUGAUUCAUGACUGGGGUGAAGUCGUAACAAGGUAACCGUAGGGGAACCUGCGGUUGGAUCACCUCCUUACCUUAAAGAAGC